CUGCAGCCAAUUAAGCCGACCGUCCUCGCUCCCUGUGGGGGCUCAGAGCACAGUGGCUGCAGACAGCAGCCUCCUUAGUACUGGCUGUGGCCUGUAGCUUGUACCGGUUGCCCUGAGGGACCUUGGAGACAGCC
ensembl:snoRNA SNORA70 Small nucleolar RNA SNORA70